rnacentral:rRNA from 1 species
UACGGAGGGUGCAAGCGUUAUCCGGAUUCACUGGGUUUAAAGGGUGCGUAGGUGGGUUGGUAAGUCAGUGGUGAAAUCUCCGAGCUUAACUCGGAAACUGCCGUUGAUACUAUUUGUCUUGAAUAUUGUGGAGGUAAGCGGAAUAUGUCAUGUAGCGGUGGAAUGCUUAGAUAUGACAUAGAACACCAAUUGCGAAGGCAGCUUACUACACAACGAUUGACGCUGAGGCACGAAAGCGUGGGGAUCAAACAGG